AUUGAACGCUGGCGGCAUGCUUUACACAUGCAAGUCGAACGGUAACAGGCCGCAAGGUGCUGACGAGUGGCGAACGGGUGAGUAAUGCAUCGGAACGUGCCCAGUCGUGGGGGAUAACUACUCGAAAGAGUAGCUAAUACCGCAUACGAUCUAUGGAUGAAAGCGGGGGACCGUAAGGACUCGCGCGAUUGGAGCGGCCGAUGUCAGAUUAGGUAGUUGGUGGGGUAAAGGCUCACCAAGCCAACGAUCUGUAGCUGGUCUGAGAGGACGACCAGCCACACUGGGACUGAGACACGGCCCAGACUCCUACGGGAGGCAGCAGUGGGGAAUUUUGGACAAUGGGCGCAAGCCUGAUCCAGCAAUGCCGCGUGCAGGAAGAAGGCCUUCGGGUUGUAAACUGCUUUUGUACGGAACGAAACGGCUCUGGUUAAUACCCGGGGCUAAUGACGGUACCGUAAGAAUAAGCACCGGCUAACUACGUG
rnacentral:rRNA from 1 species